rnacentral:rRNA from 1 species
CCCUUAGAUGUUCUGGGCCGCACGCGUGCUACACUGAUGAAGUCAUCCAGUUUUCCUUGGCCGAAAGGUCCGGGUAAUCUUACGAAACUUCAUCGUGAUGGGGAUAGACGAUUGCAAUUUUUCGUCUUCAACGAGGAACUCCUUGUAAGCGUGAGUCAUCAUCUCGCGUUGAAUACGUCCCUGCCCUUUGUACACACCGCCCGUCGCUCCUACCGAUUGGAUGGUCCGGUGAGAAUUCUGGACUGCGGCUUUACCGUGUGGUUCGCCAUACGCGGCUGCGGGAAGCUAUUCAAACCUUAUCAUCUAGAGGAAGGAGAAGUCGUANCA